rnacentral:misc_RNA from 1 species
UGUUGUAAUUCUUUUGCACCAGAGUAUUUUUAAUUUCAAAACAUGCAUCAGCUUCUUUCCUCCCUUGGACUGUAAUCCGAACUAUGUCAGCUCCCGCAUCAGCAAUUUUCAUCACCUGUUCUACUGUUGCAGCGACAUCUUUGGUAUCAGUUGUGGUCAUUGUUUGAAUUCUAAUUGGAUGUUCGCUACCAAGAGCCACGUUCCCAACCAUCACAGUGCAGGUCUGUCUUCUGACAGUUUUGUAUAUGGAUUCACAAUAUUUUUGCCUAGGAACUAGUAGUGGACUCCCUUCGGAUGCAGGCUGAAGUUCAAUGGUUUCUUGACCAGGAUUUGCAUUUCUUAUCACAGAAAAUUUUGUUCGCCGGAACUUAACCCUCUGUAAGUCGGAAACUCUUAUAAAGUUCAUACUUUUUGCGAACCCCAAACCAUUUUCAUUGCUCUUCAAGCCUGUAAAUGAAGCUGGAACAGUUCCUGCCGCCAUUUUUAUCAAUGACCCAAGUCUCUAUCUUCACACCCCAAAUUCAAGUACAAAGAAUUAGGUCUCAAAAGACUUGUUAUAAAAUGGGGUUUCAGAAAAAAAUUAAAAGAGAAGAUUGAAUACUCUUCCUAAAUAGAUUAGGCAACAUUGAAUGCUGAC